AUUGAACGCUGGCGGCAGGCUUAACACAUGCAAGUCGAGCGAGUGGCGGACGGGUGAGUAAUGUCUGGGAAACUGCCUGAUGGAGGGGGAUAACUACUGGAAACGGUAGCUAAUACCGCAUACCAUCGGAUGUGCCCAGAUGGGAUUAGCUAGUAGGUGGGGUAACGGCUCACCUAGGCGACGAUCCCUAGCUGGUCUGAGAGGAUGACCAGCCACACUGGAACUGAGACACGGUCCAGACUCCUACGGAAGGCAGCAGUGGGGAAUAUUGCACGAUGGGCGCAAGCAUGGUGCAGCCAUGACGCGUGGGUGAAGAAGGCCUUAGGGGGGUAAAGCACUUUCAGAGAGGAGGCGUUACUCGCAGAAGAAGCACCGGCUAACUCCGUGCCAGCAGCCGCGUUAAUAC
rnacentral:rRNA from 1 species